UGAAACAUGCUUAGUGUGCUCCGAAAACAAACCCGUGCUCCCUAUGACUCCGCAUGCCAAACGUCGAAGCAAGACUCCUUCAAGACUAAGUCGAGGCAAACGUACGGUUGAUGGCGAUCUUAUCUCAUUGGAUACACCAGAACCUCCGUCAAGGAUCACGAGAUCUCAUAUGAAAAAUAACUAACACAUUUAUUGUUUACAUAGAUAUUUAUUACAUGUUGUAUUUAUAAGAGACCGUACGUUUUAUCGAGCCUUUGUAUAGUGAUACGCAUGUGCGGGAGAGCACGAGAAAUCAGGACAUAAUUAAUAACAAUCAACGCACUUUUAUUUAACGUAAAAUUCUCGAUAUAAAACUUUCAUAAGUGUUUUCCAAUUUUAUAUACAUCGGACGAGGAAGUAGAAUAUAAUGGAAAUGUGUUGCCUGCAACGCCGUUACGCGAACGAUAUUUUUACUAUUCAGCAUUUUAGCAAUUGAGCGAUUUAGAAAUAAUAAUUGUAACAUUUCUCCGUUGUAAAAAAAGAAACAAAACUAUGGAAUACAAAAAUAUAAAUUACUAAUAUCCUAAUAUAUAUAUAUUUACAGACGUAUGAAUACUAACGACAUAACUCUAUAAAUACAUAUGAUACAUA